rnacentral:rRNA from 1 species
UUGCUCUUCAACGAGGAAUACCUAGUAAGCGUGGGUCAUCAGCCCGCGUUGAUUACGUCCCUGCCCUUUGUACACACCGCCCGUCGCUACUACCGAUUGAAUGGCUUAGUGAGAUCUCCGGAUUGGCGUUGGGGAGCCGGCAACGGCACCCCUUGGCCGAGAAGCUGAUCAAACUUGGUCAUUUAGAGGAAGUAAAAGUCGUAACAAGGUUUCCGUAGGUGAACCUGCGGAAGGAUCAUUGAUGAAUACGGCCUCGGGAUGGCCCUAAACCCGACACACCCACACCUGUGAACCUGGCGUCCCUCGGGGCGUCGAAAACCUUUACACCGUAGUGUCAGUCACGAACGUGAAACAGAAAUCAAACACAACUUUCAACAACGGAUCUCUUGGCUCUCGCAUCGAUGAAGAACGCAGCGAAUUGCGAUAAGUAAUGUGAAUUGCAGAAUUCAGUGAAUCAUCGAAUCUUUGAACGCACCUUGCACCCUCUGGUAUUCCGGAGGGUAUGCCUGUCCGAGUGUCUUGAAAACCUCACACCUCCCGGGUUAUGCCCGGCUGGAAGUGGACUUGGGUGUUGCCGUCUGGCUCACCUCAAAUGCCUUAGCGGUCCCGUCGGUGGACGGCCUUGCGUGCUUACGUUUCGCUCGGUCCGGAAACCAUCGGCCUGCUCACAAAGCUUCUUCCCUUGUGGAGAAAAAACUCUUGACACCUUGACCUCGGAUCAGGUAGGACUACCCGCUGAACUUAAGCAUAUCAAUAAGCGGAGGA